rnacentral:rRNA from 1 species
GAUGAACGCUAGCGAUAGGCUAAACACAUGCAAGUCGAGGGGCAGCAUGGUCUUAGCUUGCUAAGGCUGAUGGCGACCGGCGCACGGGUGCGUAACGCGUAUGCAACUUGCCUCACAGAGGGGGAUAACCCGUCGAAAGACGGACUAAUACCGCGUACACUCUAUGUUGGGCAUCCAAUGUAGAGGAAAUGAACUUCGCUGUGAGAUAGGCAUGCGUCCCAUUAGCUAGUUGGUGAGGUAACGGCUCACCAAGGCGACGAUGGGUAGGGGAACUGAGAGGGUGAACCCCCACACUGGUACUGAGACACGGACCAGACUCCUACGGGAGGCAGCAGUGAGGAAUAUUGGUCAAUGGGCGAGAGCCUGAACCAGCCAAGUCGCGUGAAGGAUGACUGUCUUAUGGAUUAUAAACUUCUUUUAUACGGGAAUAACAAGAGUCACGUGUGGCUCCCUGCAUGUACCGUAUGAAUAAGCAUCGGCUAACUCCGUG